UUGAUAAUAAAAAGAAGAAAAUACUUUUGAUCAUAUUUUCAAUUUUCUAUCUCACAAUUAAGUUUUUACUGUGAGUGUUUUUUAAAUAGACUUCCAUUUUCAAAUUACUAACGACAUCCCAGGAUAUUGAGAGUUUAAUGGAAAUAUUGAUAAUAGUUCUAAAUUUCAGGAUUUAAGAGUAACUGUAAACAAUAUAUGAAACUACUGUUUUUACCGCACUACAACCUCAAUCACACAAAAUGUCUUUGACAAACAUUUAUUUAACUUAUCUUCUUAUUACUCACAAGUCCUCUCUGCUAACAUGGAGGAGGAGGGUUUAAGACAUGUACUGCAGCCAGCCACCAGGGGGUCGUGUCGUCCAUCUUUAUUAAAGUCUAUGUUUCAAACUGAAUCAGCUUCACACGGAGGUCUCACUUCCUGCAGCUGCUUCCUGGACCAGUUGAGUUGGUUCUGAACAACUGGUUCAUUGAUGGAGGUGUUUGGGUCGGAGCCUCGUUUCUCCGUCGAAGCUCAAACUGAAUCCGUGGCGUUGAGGUUUAAUCCCUGACUCACGCUCCUCUCUUAUUGGUCCUUAGGUAAACCAGCUUUUUGCCGUCGCUCAGGGAGCAGGGCGGCGGCUCCGGGGGUCACAGAGGACGACUCGCUCCAUUACUCCAGUCUGAGGCACCGGCCACGCCCCCCCGGCCAGCCGCCGGCACGAUUGGUGGAGAAGGACGACACCUACUCUGCAGUGAGGGUCGCAAGAACCCUACGGGAUCACAUGACCGCAGAUAGAGGGUGACACUGCCACCCGCUGGUCACACAGUAAAUGACAUGCUCUCGUUUCAUUAAAGAUUCAGUUUGUAGGAUUUAGUGACAUCUGGUGGUGAGGGGGCAUAUUGCACAACCCAACACUCACCACUAGGUGGCCUAAUGUUGUGGAUGUUUUAUUCUUAUAUUUUUGACUUUGUUAUUAGUAUUAAUCAUCUAACAACCAGUUGUUUCCUUGACAGAUUGUUGGGACACACAACACAUCUAAAGUUAUUCUCUCAUUUUAUACAUUUAAAGUACAAAGUGUGAUGUUAAAAGUUUUUGUGUCGUAAUGUGAACCAGAAAUAAACUUCACGUUUUGAGACUG